rnacentral:rRNA from 1 species
GGGGCAUCACAUGAAGUAGCAAUACGGAUGGUGGCGACCGGCGCACGGGUGAGUAACACGUAUGCAACCUGCCUUCAACAAGGGGAUAACCCGUUGAAAGACGGACUAAUACCCUAUAACACAGGGAUCCCGCAUGGGAAUAUUUGUUAAAGGACAACCGGUUGAAGAUGGGCAUGCGUUCCAUUAGCUAGUUGGCGGGGUAACGGCCCACCAAGGCAACGAUGGAUAGGGGAACUGAGAGGUUUAUCCCCCACACUGGUACUGAGACACGGACCAGACUCCUACGGGAGGCAGCAGUGAGGAAUAUUGGUCAAUGGACGCAAGUCUGAACCAGCCACGUCGCGUGAAGGAAGACGGCCCUACGGGUUGUAAACUUCUUUUAUACGGGAAUAAAGUGCCCCACGCGUGGGGUUUUGCAUGUACCGUAUGAAUAAGGAUCGGCUAACUCCGUGCCAGCAGCCGCGGUAAUACGGAGGAUCCGAGCGUUAUCCGGAUUUAUUGGGUUUAAAGGGUGCUCAGGCGGGGGAUUAAGUCGGCGGUGAAAUUUUGCAGCUCAACUGUAAAAGUGCCUUCGAAACUGGUUUCCUUGAGUGUGGAUGAGGUAGGCGGAAUUUGUGGUGUAGCGGUGAAAUGCAUAGAUAUCACGAGGAACUCCGAUUGCGCAGGCAGCUUACUAAACCAUAACUGACGCUCAAGCACGAAGGCGUGGGGAUCAAA